rnacentral:rRNA from 1 species
GACGAACGCUGGCGGCGUGCCUAAUACAUGCAAGUUGAGCGAUGAAGAUUGGUGCUUGCACCAAUUUGAAGAGCAGCGAACGGGUGAGUAACGCGUGGGGAAUCUGCCUUUGAGCGGGGGACAACAUUUGGAAACGAAUGCUAAUACCGCAUAACAACUUUAAACAUAAGUUUUAAGUUUGAAAGAUGCAAUUGCAUCACUCAAAGAUGAUCCCGCGUUGUAUUAGCUAGUUGGUGAGGUAAAGGCUCACCAAGGCGAUGAUACAUAGCCGACCUGAGAGGGGGAUCGGCCACAUUGGGACUGAGACACGGCCCAAACUCCUACGGGAGGCAGCAGUAGGGAAUCUUCGGCAAUGGACGAAAGUCUGACCGAGCAACGCCGCGUGAGUGAAGAAGGUUUUCGGAUCGUAAAACUCUGUUGGUAGAGAAGAACGUUGGUGAGAGUGGAAAGCUCAUCCAGUGACGGUAACUACCCAGAAAGGGACGGCUAACUACGUG